rnacentral:ncRNA from 2 species
CAGAGUAAGAUUGUGUGCGUUAAGUGUCAUACGAACGGGGAGUUGUCGUAUGAACGAAAAGAAUUUCUUGCGGUACGCAGUCUGCAUCCCGCUGU